AGUGAACGCUGGCGGCGUGCUUAACACAUGCAAGUCGAACGAGAACGGAUUAUAGCUUGCUAUAAUUGUCAGCUAAGUGGCGCACGGGUGAGUAAUGUAUAGGUAAUAUGCCUCUUACUAAGGGAUAACAAAUGGAAACGUUUGCUAAUACCUUAUACUCCUUAUUAACAGAAGUUAAUAAGGGAAAGAUUUAUUGGUAAGAGAUUAGCCUGUAUUGUAUCAGUUAGUUGGUGGGGUAAUGGCUUACCAAGACUAUGACACAUAACUGGUUUGAGAGGAUGAUCAGUCACACUGGAACUGAGACACGGUCCAGACUCCUACGGGAGGCAGCAGUGGGGAAUAUUGCACAAUGGACGAAAGUCUGAUGCAGCAACGCCGCGUGGAGGAUGACACAUUUCGGUGCGUAAACUCCUUUUAUAUGAGAAGAUAAUGACGGUAUUAUAUGAAUAAGCACCGGCUAACUCCGUGCCAGCAGCCGCGGUAAAACG
rnacentral:rRNA from 1 species